rnacentral:lncRNA from 1 species
UUUCUGCAAAAGGUAUCUGUAGCUUUAUUUAGAGAACGUUCUGAGGUCAGGAUAACAAAACAGUCAUUAUAUAGUUCUUGCUUACUUACGCACAUGCAUUUACACACAAUCCGUUGGUGACCUGCAUCCCCCAUAAACUUCUCACACUGUUUAUCACUACCCAGAGCUCAGCCUGUUCUUUUCCCUCAAGGUUAGGAACUCUUUGAAGCUUUUACUCCCUUGACCAUCUGUCUCCUGGUGUCCCUCCUAAUUGCAUACACACAUUUCUUUCCCUCUCCAGUGGUUCCUGGACUUUCCGGAACUAAUCAGACUAAUCGAUCCCUAUCUUGAUCAUUACAUUGAUUAUUCAUUAAACCUGCUGUAUGACUAAUAAUUCAUCAUGGUUUAUUGAUUCAUUUACAUUUAUUAGAUAAUUCUCUUAUCAAUUCCACCCUUAAAUGAUUCAAUAAUUCACCAUGAUGAUCAGAUGCUAUAUGAGAACCCUACUAAUCAUAUGCUAUAUGUAAAUACAAUAAUCCUACGCUAUAUGGAAAUACAUAAUUGUGAAAUCACACGCUAUAUGGGAUUUAAUUGUGAUACAAUGAUUAAACAAAACCAAUACAUAAUUAUUCCUCCUAUACCCAUCAAUGACAGUCCUAGGCCUCUUUCCAAUUAUGACACUUCGAUUCAGGAUUUUCAUCAUAAUUUUCAUUAAAGGAACAGUCUAUCAAAACGUUGAAAAUUCAAACAAAACGUUGAAAAUUGUUUCAUCAAACAUUGGCUCCUCGUUAUCGAAAGAAACGGAGCCAUCUUCCUGGCCUGGAGGCCCGCAUUCGCCAUCCCACUGAUCGGAGCUCGGAAUCGGUCCAUAUCUCACCAACUGCUGCGUCAUCGAUCUCUCGAGAGUCCUGGUGAUUAAACCUCUCACACAUGGGACAAGACAACAUCCACACAACACAAACACACUCAUACAGGUGAAAGCAGCCCAUAAUACAGUUCUUACAACACUUUUCCAUUUCCCCAAACAUGGGAUAUGUUAUCAGGAAUGUACGUGUAGCGCUGAACCUAAUCAUUCUACCUACACUGCCCUCUUCUGCCAAUAACAUAUCGAGAGUCAGUCUAUUUUACCAGGUCAUGAGGGGGGUGGCGGAUAAUUGGUCAGAGAACAUCUUUACUGCAUCCCCGUUUUCAUUCAUGAAUCUCUGUUGAUUAUAAAAGAUGUCAUUAAUCCCAUCCACAUUUUUAUCUAUUGUCAACCACCAAAAUAAUGUAGUGUUAAAGCCUUCACAUAUUUGAUUCAUAGCUUUGUAUUCAUCUGGAACUUCCCUGAAGAUGCCAAUAGCAUCUAUCUAGACAAAGCUACUCCCAUCCUGGUCAAAACUACUCCUGUGCCUACUUUAGCCUCCUAUAACUGGCCUCUGAUGACUAACUCGAACUGGUUGGACCAAUAACCCCAGGGCGCAAGUUUCUAACCACCCUUUGUGGUAAUUUCUGUCGUAUGCGUCCUUUACUGGUACUAGCCCACCCUUCAUCAGUUAUAGGUGCUGUGAGGUUAAGAAUGUUCUAUUCAUCUCUCAAACCUAAGUCAGUCACAUUAACGAUUACUUUCAGCCAUUAAAAUCAUCUUAGUUCUCGGUGCCAUUCUUGUAUCUAUAACACUGGUAUUCAUCCGGAAUUUAGGUGAACCGAGGUGGGUUGGCUGAGUACUUCAAUCUGGCCAACCCCAAUUCCUGUACAGUUGUCUGCUUCCCCAGGAAUUUGUUUAAUGUUUACCUUAAAUUCUACAUCUUGAUCUUCUUUGAUUCCUUAUUCUGUAUGUCACUCAUCAGUGUAUUGUAUAGUUUAUCUUCUACUUCUUCUCAAUGACAACGGUAUCCUAUGAUUAGUACCAGAAGGUGGUGGAUCUGAAUGUAUCAGAAAGGUUACCAAAACUAUGAUGCAGCUCAGAGUCUCUACUCUUCCCAAAAACCGCCAACCCUCUCCUGCCCUUAGUCGAUCUGCUAGGUACCACCCCAUACUCACACCUCUAGGAGCACACACAGUGAUGAACGGUCGGGAUAGGAAAUCUUCGUUAAGGAGGUAACCCCCGGACCCUGUUGGUAUCGGUUCUUCUCCUAACUCUGUGUGUGAUCAGCAGGGUUCAUAUGUGUACAUACCUCCUUGCAGUGAGUAACGUGGACCCAAGUGACUCUUUCAGCUUUUCUAAUGGCAAAGGCAGUGGUUUAACAGAACCUGGUAUGGGCCUUCCCAACGGGGCUGCUUCCAGUUUUUUCUCCUCAGGGACUGGAUCCACACCCAGUCUCCUGGUUGGAUUGAGUGAAUCACCUUCUCCUGUAAUUCACCUGUUGGACACAAAAUCUUGGACAUACGGGUUUGGUUAACAAACAGUCUUCUCAUGUGCUCUGCUAGUAUUUCUUCAACUUCCAUGUCUACCUGUUCUGGUAUCUCUAACUCUGGCAUUCUAUAGGCUCUACCUGAUUAGCUAAACUGUCAUCCAUCAUUUAAAGAGAUGGCGCCUAGUAAACCAACUCUAGGGAUAAUAUCUGGACUUAAUAUUUUAGCUACCAUAAUCAUGUCCACCAAGUAAGUUGGGAACGCUUCUACCCAUUUGCUAUACUUAUCUAUUCUUGUUAAACACCCCUUCUUCCCCUCAAUUCGGAAUAGUUCAAUAAGUCCAAUUCCAAAUGUUGGAAUGGAUCUUCUUACAAUUUUUUAUUUUUUAUUUAACCUGUUUAGGAUAGGGGGCAGUAUUGACACGGCUGGAUAAAAAACAUACCCGAUUUAAUCUGGUUACCACUCCUACCCAGUAACUAGAAUAUGCAUAUACUUAUUACAUAUGGAUAGAAAACACCCUAAAUUUUCUAAAACUGUUUGAAUGGUGUCUGUGAGUAUAACAGAACUCAAAUGGCAGGUCAAAACCUGAGAGAUUCCUUUACAGGAAGUGGCCUGUCUGACCAUUUCUUGAACUUCUUUUCCAUCUCUAUCAUUUACUAAGGAUCUCUGCUCUAACGUGACACUUCCCACGUUGUCCAUAGGCGCUCAGAGCCCGGGAAAAAACAGAAUGUCGUCAUUCCAGCCCCAGGCUGAAACACAUUAUCGCCUUUCUCAAGUGGCCGAUCAAGGGACACUGUGCUUAUGCGCGUGACCCCGACCGCCCCCGCCUUUGGGAUUUUUUCCUCUGUUUGCCGAAAAGGAGAUUCCCUGUCGGAAUAUUAUCGCUUUUCUACGAGAAAAAUGUCGUAAAAAUUGAUUUUAAACAGCGGUUGACAUGCUUCGAAGUACGGUAAUGUGGGUGUCUAAAUAGCGAGCCCGUGAUGCCUGGGCUAUGUACUUAGAAUAUUGCAAAAUGUGCUUUCACCAAAAAGCUAUUUUAAAAUCGGACAUAUCGAGUGCAUAGAGGAGGUCUGUAUCUAUAAUUCUUAAAAUAAUUGUUAUGCUUUUUGUGAACGUUUAUCGUGAGUAAUUUAGUAAAAUGUUAGCGAAUUCCCCGGAAGUUUGCGGGGGGUAUGCUAGUUCUGAACGUCACAUGCUAAUGUAAAAAGCUGGUUUUUGAUAUAAAUAUGAACUUGAUUGAACAAAACAUGCAUGUAUUGUAUAACAUAAUGUCCUAGGGUUGUCAUCUGAUGAAGAUCAUCAAAGGUGAGUGCUGCAUUUAGCUGUCUUCUGGGUUUUGGUGACAUUAUAUGCUGGCUUGAAAAAUGGGUGUCUGAUUAUUUCUGGCUUGGUACUCUGCUGACAUAAUCUAAUGUUUUGCUUUCGUUGUAAAGCCUUUUUGAAAUCGGACAGUGUGGUUAGAUUAACGAGAGUCUUGUCUUUAAAUGGCUGUAAAAUAGUCAUAUGUUUGAGAAAUUGAAGUAAUAGGAUUUUUAAGGUUUUGAAAAUCGCGCCACAGGCUGGCAGUGGCUGUUACGUAGGUGGGACGAAUUCGUCCCGCCUAGCCUAGAGAGGUUAAGUAAUUAUCCUCUAGGCCAUCACUCUUUCCUAACUACUCUACUAUACUUCCCUCCCCUUGAUACAUUGCUUAGCCUAUGUAUCAAUAUUGCUGCGUAUCCAUAUAAUGUCUUUGGUAGGAUAAGUAAAUAAUCCUUCUGUCAGACCUUCUCUUAUAGGAUGCCCCCUUUCAUUUUCCACAUGUCCAAUUCUCCCUGGGGCCUUCAUCCUCGGCUAUUCUGUAACAAUUCUCUGUCAAGUGUUUUAUCCUCUUUAAGAUUUAUCUAUGCAGCUUUGUAUGGUUUUAAAUGUUCAUGUGCUUGUCUGUGUAAAUAGUAACUUUUCUCUCCUUUCUUAUUUCACCGGUUCUAGUCAAUGCUACUAUUUCGGCCUACUGUGCAGAAUAGUGUCUGGGCAAUGGUUCAGUGUCUAACACCUGAAACCUACUAAGCCCUUUUAGUUAGGGUAACAAUUACUUUCAACAAAAUGAUACUAAUUUUCUCCUAGCGAAUUUACCAGACAUAAACUUAAAAUCAAAACUAAAAUGCAUGCCUGCCAAUGGAGCCGUUAGUCUCUCCAUGAAUUAAUUUCCUAGAGCUUAGUGAACCAAAUUCUCUUCCUAUCUACUCCUGCUGGCCCCCCUCCUUUCUUCCUGCUACUCCCCAACCCUCAAGGUUUCAGCAGUGCAGGGGAGGAUCUCUCUGUCUGCCCUUCUAUCUGUCUCCAGCUUUUUCUCAUAAUAUGGUUGUUUCCAAAUAUUGACUAAAUGUCUCAUUGUCUCCUUGGUUGCACUCCUGAACUUUUUGAAAAAUCAACCUCUCUAGAUAUUGCAUAUCUACUUAAAUUUAUCUCGAUACCCUCAAUAAUCCUGGAUCACCUACAGAUGUCAUAUAUCCCUGUCCUGUUGACAUAAGUCUAUCAUUAUUAAACUUAUUCACAACAAAAUAUAGUAAUACUAGUAUAUCAAUUCCACAGCCUUGUUGUGUUAAAUCUCUUACACUGAAUUCAACAACAGCUGACUUCCUAAGGGAAAAUAAACGUAUCUAGAUCAUGUAAAAAAAAUACCCCUGCUACUGGUCAAAAUAUUUUCAAAUCACAUAAUCAGAUCAAAAUGACUAAUCUGAUUUACUCCACCAAGAAAAAUUAUUUUACCUUUAUUGUUCUAGGAAAAUAGACUUAAGGAAGCCUACCCUUAGUCUAAGGCUUUGCCCUUUUAGUCCUAUCAUUGGUUCAAAUUAUCAAUUGUGUCUAAGAGCUUUAACUCCAUCAUAAUAUCACCAAUGACCUUAAAUUCACCAUCCAAAUGGCUUUUCAAUGUGGCUGAUCAGACCACACAGGAAAAGUCACCAGAUGUCAAAAGUCAUACCACCCUUUCAGAACCGUGUUUCUUACUACAUUAAACAAAUUAAGGCUUAGAACUUCAUCUACAUUUUGUAUCCCAGGUUCCCAGAACAUUCCCUAUCAAAAGAAUUUCAUGUGUUUAUUAAAACUCAGAAAACAAAACUUCCAAAAUGCCAUGUGUGUAUACCCCUUUAAGAUAUCAUGUCCCUAGGAUUUUUUUAUUUAUUUAUUUUCCCAAAGAGAGCUAAGCGCUUCUUUUUCCAUAAAAUAACCACUUGGUCAGCAUUUCAUCCUACCACCCUGAUUCAAAAACCCCAAAGUUGACUAUAAACAAAACCUAAUAAUACUUAUAAUUCCAUUGUACUCCCUCCAAUCAUUAGUUUUAAACUUCCUCAAUGGUUUAUGUGAUUGAACAUGCCUUUCUGUGGGCGCCUGACCUUUUUCUCUCUGUAUUUGUCUCGACCCCCUCUCUGACAUCUCCUGUCUUUGUUAUUUUUGCAAUCUCGGUGAUUAUGGCCUACUUUAUUGCAGUGUUUACACGGCUCCUCACAUUCUCUAGCAAAAUGUCCUGUCUCGCCACAAUUGUAACAUCUAUUUCCCCCUUUCUCUCCUGCCUUGCUAUUUUUUCCUCUUUUGUCACCUCUACCAUUCCCUGCAAUCUCUCCUAGAGUGGCCAUCAGAUAUUCUGCUCCUUUCCUUUCCUUCUUCUCUUUCUCCCCUUUGCCAAGUUGCUCAUAGUGUACAGCAUAUCUCUUUACUUCCCUCAGAUCUGCUAGCCCCCACCCUACGAGGUUCUGUUUAAUGGCGCGGUUUCGACCUAUUUUAUUGCAGUGUUUACACAGAACCUCACAUUCUCUAGCAAAAUGACCCGGUUUGUUACAGUUAAAGCAUCCAUCUCCCCCUUUCUUUUGUCUAUUCCUAUCCGGACUUUGGUUAUGGUAAACGAGUCUACUGAGGGCUCUGGGUUGUGCAGCACCACCAACACGCUCUCUACCCCUAGUUAUCAUCUUUCUCUCUCCCUCCGUUUCUAUCCACUUUUUCAAUAAAGUGGCUAAAUCCUGUCCAGCUACCUGUGUCUCUUCCUCUCUACCUCCCUCGGCUCCCUGAGGACCAGCAUAUGGGGGAGGGGGUAUAGGUACGGGCGGCACUGGAUGUGGUAGCCUCCGUAUCACUACCACCACCUCGUCAUCUGGGUUCUCCCGCCAUCCCUGGUCAACCAGGGAGGGGUAUAAUUCGGGUUCAGAUGGUGUCUCUGUGGGAGCCGUGGGAGUCCUCUCUGUCUGCUCCUGGCUACCCAAACAUUCAUUUUUAGUAACUCCCUUACUUUUGGCCCCCUCCGCUCUCUUUCUAGCUUCUGCCAGCCAAACCCGAGCAGUGUCAAGGCCCUCUGUGCGCUGCUUCUCUGUCUUACCCCCACUGACCUUAUGUAUUUGUUUUACCAUUAAUUGCAAUCUUUCAACAUUCAGACAUCCAUCAAAAUUGUAUUUCUUUCUCCAUUUCGGCCCAAAAUAAAUGUUCCUCUUAUCUUUUCCCAGCAUAAAACGUUCAUCUCCCGUCAAUACCGGGAUUUCCUUAGAGGAUUUACUACCCAUGUUGUUUUUUUAAAUUGUUUUAAAGUACACUCGUAUUUAUUCUGCUUCUUCUCCCAACCAAGAGUUUUAGAAAUAUUAUUCGUAAGAACCAUAAACUAUCUUUUAUUCAUAUGUGCUUUAAUUUAUACAACUUCAAACCAAAUACAAUUAGUGUCUACUCGUUGUUAAUCUUAAUGUGUAUGCUAUUUUACCGUUAUUAACCUAGAAUUUGGGGAAUAAUCAUUCGCAUGCUAUUUUACAAAUUGCUUCUAUCUCAUCGCUCAAAAAGGACAAACGGCUUUUAUCUUGCGCCUGUUGAGUCUAGCAAUAUGUUUUCGUUAUGAUUUUAACAAUGUGUUUUCGUUAUUAAACCUAUAAUUUGGGGAAUAAUUAUUCGUACGCUAUAUUACAAAUUGCUUGUAUCUCAUCGCUCAAAAAGGACAAACGGCUUUUAUCUUGCACCUGUUGAUUCUAGCAAUAUGUUUUCGUUAUUAACCUUCUAUUCGCAAUAUAGAGUUGUUCUGCUAGAAUGAUUAUACGUAUCUAUCCUAACCCGGUCUUUAUCUCGCUCAUAGACAAACACUGCAACCCGUUUUAUUUUUAGGUUUGUACUGUCUGUCUUUUUCUCGCGAUUUAUUGACAGAAUCCGCCUCACACGCAAUCCCUCAUCCCAGCAUAGUUACUCUAUCUCUCUCGAAACUUUAUCUACAGCGGGGACUGUCGAUCAGACAUUAGGUCGCAUACGUAUGCAACUAUAAACUACUUUCCAGGGGUCGUAAAGCCCUAGUUAACAGCCUAUUUAUCUGUUGCUUCAUGUAACUGUUGACACCAAUAUCUGUUUCUCACUCCGCCAUAUUAGGUCUCACUUCACCCAUAGAUAUCAGACCCAAAGCCGUAUUUAGGUACCGACUAUCCCCUUAUGGUUUUUUGACCCUUGUGCUACGUUAUCAGGUCUCACCACAAGCCCUAGUUUAGUUUUAUGCAGUGGCCACAGUUGCCCAGGGUCGAUUUCGGACCCUGCGUCGUUUUCGAAUUCGUCGUUUUGAAUUUACAACUAAUUCCUAACUUCCAUCCGCGCAGAAUACUUGAUUCCCUUUAAAACCGAUUUUUCUCCACGUGAACUUCUGAAGCCAGGUCACCCGCUAUAACAUUCAUCAAUCUCAGCGUCUCACACCCAGAGUACCUUUCACUCACAACAAUCGCUUUUGCCUUACACUCUCAACAAUCGCUUUUGCCUUACAUUCACAACACUCGCUUUUGCCUUUCAUUCACAACAAUCGCUUUCGCCUUACACUCUCAACAAUCGCUUUCUCAUCAAAUGCCAACACCCAAUUGUGUCCCUUAUUCCAUCAUGCAAUGCAGCCAUACAGGUGUAUUUCAUACAAUGCAGACACACAGGUGUAUCACCAACACCCAAAUGUGUCCCUUAUUCCAUCAUGCAAUGCAGACAUACAGGUGUAUUUCUCAUUUCAUCAAGUAAUGCAGACCUACAAUCGCUUCCUCACCAUGCAAUGCAAACCUAUAGGUAUAUCACAAAUUUCCCUAUGCAAUACAAACCUAUAGGUAUGUCACUCACCCCUUAUUUAAUGUAAUCAUACAGGUGCUAUUCCCCAAAAGUAUGAAUAAAGCUUACUAACCUUAUAAUUUGCAGCUGAGGUUUUCAAUGUUCGUUGAAUCUCGUCACCACCUCUGUCGCGUACCAAUUUGCCACCGGCCUGUAAAGAACCCACAGAAAAGGGCCAGGUCUUUGAUUUACGGAUAUUUCAUCCGCCCGUGCACGGUUUCGGUGUCUCCUUGGGACGACAGCGGCAGUUUGAAAUCCGGCUCGAAUAGGACCAAUUGUUAAAGGAAUUUUAUAUCUUGAUGAUAAUAAUCAAUAAUCAAUUCGCCUUGACUAAUGCCCAAGGUUUGUAAGACAAUGGGUUAUAAUAAUUAGGCAAGGACUCAGCUUUCUGCAAAAGGUUUCUGUAGCUUUAUUCAUGAGAACGUUCUGAGGUCAGGAUAACAAAACAGUCAUUAUAUAGUUCUUGCUUACUUACGCACAUGCAUUUACACACAAUCCGUUGGUGACCUGCAUCCCCCAUAAACUUCUCACACUGUUUAUCACUACCCAGAGCUCAGCCUGUUCUUUUCCCUCAAGGUUAGGAACUCUUUGAAGCUUUUACUCCCUUGACCAUCUGUCUCCUGGUGUCCCUCCUAAUUGCAUACAUACAUUUCUUUCCCUCUCCAGUGGUUCCUGGACUUUCCGGAACUAAUCAGACUAAUCGAUCCCUAUCUUGAUCAUUACAUUGAUUAUUCAUUAAACCUGCUGUAUGACUAAUAAUUCAUCAUGGUUUAUUGAUUAAUUUACAUUUAUUAGAUAAUUCUCUUAUCAGCAGGGCAGUACGUAUUUCCUCUCUUACAUCUGCAAGCAGAGUCUGAACAUCAGACAGGAUGGCAUUGUCUCCCUCAAUCCGUGCAAUGGCUACUGCUAUAGGUUUCAGGAGUUUCAGGCUGCUUACCACUCUCUCCCAAAAUACAUCAUCCAGGAGGAUCCUCUUGAUGGGGCUGUCCAUAUCGGCAGACUGUGAGAUGGCCAUUUCUUGGAGAGACUCCUUCCCCUCCAGGAGACUGUCAAACAUGAUGGCAACACCACCCCAACGGGUGUUGCUGGGCAGCUUCAAUGUGGUGCUCUUAUUCU